GAUUCCUGGCGGAGCCUCAUUUAGGAAGGACUUGGAGCGACUGAAGGCUUCUCCUGAAGACUUCGACGGCUUCAGCAGAAAUCAUGCAAAUGGAGACGACUUGAAAAGGCGCUGCUGCUGCUUCUGCUGCUGAUGCCUCGAGUGGAGAGUUACAAGGAUGAGGAUGUCUCAGAGACUUGUUAUAAUUAGUCCAUCCUCCUUAGAGGAGACAUCGCAUAGACAUUAAAUGUUUCAUCAUUCAUUUUUCCUCAUAGUUCACAUUCAGCCAGCCGCUCAGCGGACAGCGCCUUCAGCUAACCUGUUGUCCAAAGCUCCCGCUAGUUGUUCGACUUUGCUCGACGAUAUGACCGGAAUCG